CCUACGGGGGGCUGCAGUGGGGAAUAUUGGGCAAUGGAGGAAACUCUGACCCAGCAACGCCGCGUGAAUGAUGAAGGUCUUCGGAUUGUAAAGUUCUUUUCUAAGGGAAGAAGAAAGUGACGGUACCUUAGGAAUAAGCCUCGGCUAACUACGUGCCAGCAGCCGCGGUAAUACGUAGGAGGCAAGCGUUAUCCGGAAUGACUGGGCGUAAAGGGUGCGUAGGUGGUUUGACAAGGUGGUAGCGUAACUCCGGGGCUCAACCAUGAGAGUGCGGCGCGAACUGGAGACCUUGAGUGCGCGGAAGGCAGGCGGAAUUCGUGGUGUAGCGGUGAAAUGCUUAGAUAUCACGAAGAACCCCGAUUGCGAAGGCAGCCUGCCGCAGCGUUACUGACGCUGAAGCUCGAAAGCGCGGGUAUCGAACAGGAUUAGAUACCCCUGUAGUC
rnacentral:rRNA from 1 species